rnacentral:rRNA from 1 species
GAUGAACGCUAGCUACAGGCUUAACACAUGCAAGUCGAGGGGUCUCGAGAGGGCUUGCUCUUGAGAGACGACCGGCGCACGGGUGAGUAACGCGUAUCCAACCUGCCCUUCAUAUUGGGAUAGCCUCUCGAAAGGGAGAUUAAUACCCGAAUAACAUAGUUUAGUUGCCUGACCAGACUAUGAAAGCUCCGGCGAUGAAGGAUGGGGAUGCGUUCCAUUAGGUAGUAGGCGGGGUAACGCCCACCUAGCCAACGAUGGAUAGGGGUUCUGACGAGGAAGGUCCCCCCACACUGGAACUGAGACACGGUCCAGACUCCUACGGGAGGCAGCAGUGAGGAAUAUUCGGGUCAAAUGGGGCGCAAGGCCCUUGAACCCAGCCAAGUAGCGUGAAGGAUGACUGCCCUAUGGGUUGUAAACUUCUUUUUAANAAGGGAG